GAGGACCCAUCCCUUAGGUUCUGGUCCUGGAAUGUGUGGACCAAGUGCCCUGGUCCCUUUGCUAGAGAAAAGGAGUGGGAGUCAGCCAACUGACGGCAGCAGAGGGUGGGGACCAACCCCCAGUACAAAAUCAGGCUUAGUUUCCUGCUUGAGAGGCAUCAUCAGAAGAAGACCCCCAGGAGAAGAGGCGGGACUGACUGAGGUGGCCUGCUUGGAGUGAGGCAGGUGUGGCCAAGCCUCGCUGUCUGCGUGACCGUCAAGGGGCAGGGGCUACAGGUUUCACUCUUCAUUCAACACGUGCUGUCAAAUGUCG